UUCGUGGGGAGCCUGGGGCCAAAGCAUUCGAAGACAGCCUGCUUCUGGGUCAGGGGUUUUGCAUGGAGCAGAGCAGCUCCCUUGCUGCGAUGGAUUGAAAGUCAGCCCUCAACAUGAGGGUUUGU
rnacentral:rRNA from 1 species